UACGAAGGGUGCAAGCGUUACUCGGAAUUACUGGGCGUAAAGCGUGCGCAGGCGGUUCGUUAAGUCUGCUGUGAAAGCCCUGGGCUCAACCUGGGAAUGGCAGUGGAUACUGGCGAGCUAGAGUACGGUAGAGGAAGGUGGAAUUCCCGGUGUAGCGGUGAAAUGCGCAGAGAUCGACAAGAACACCGGUGGCGAAGGCGGGUCUCUGGACAGUUCCUGACGCUGAGGGACGAAAGCUAGGGGAGCAAACGGG
rnacentral:rRNA from 1 species